rnacentral:rRNA from 1 species
UACGUAGGGUGCAAGCGUUGUCCGGAAUUAUUGGGCGUAAAGAGCUCGUAGGCGGUCUGUUGCGUCGGCUGUGAAAACCCGGGGCUCAACUCCGGACCUGCAGCCGAUACGGGCAGACUAGAGUUCGGCAGGGGAGACUGGAAUUCCUGGUGUAGCGGUGAAAUGCGUAGAUAUCGGGAGGAACACCAGUGGCGAAGGCGGGCACCUGGGCUAACACUGACGCUGAUGCGCGAAAGCUAGGGGAGCAAACAGG